rnacentral:rRNA from 1 species
GACGAACGCUGGCGGCGUGCUUAACACAUGCAAGUCGAACGGAAAGGCCCUUCGGGGUACUCGAGUGGCGAACGGGUGAGUAACACGUGGGUGAUCUGCCCUGCACUUUGGGAUAAGCCUGGGAAACUGGGUCUAAUACCGAAUAGGACCACGCGCUUCUUGUUGUGUGGUGGAAAGCUUUUGCGGUGUGGGAUGGGCCCGCGGCCUAUCAGCUUGUUGGUGGGGUAAUGGCCUACCAAGGCGACGACGGGUAGCCGGCCUGAGAGGGUGACCGGCCACACUGGGACUGAGAUACGGCCCAGACUCCUACGGGAGGCAGCAGUGGGGAAUAUUGCACAAUGGGCGCAAGCCUGAUGCAGCGACGCCGCGUGAGGGAUGACGGCCUUCGGGUUGUAAACCUCUUUCAAUAGGGACGAAGCGCAAGUGACGGUACCUAUAGAAGAGGCACCGGCCAACUACGUG